rnacentral:rRNA from 1 species
UGAAGCGGGAAAAGCUCAAAUUUAAAAUCUGGCGGUCUUUGGUCGUCCGAGUUGUAGUCUGGAGAAGUGCUUUCCGCGCUGGACCGUGUAUAAGUCUCUUGGAACAGAGCGUCAUAGAGGGUGAGAAUCCCGUCUUUGACACGGACUACCAGUGCUUUGUGAUGCGCUCUCAAAGAGUCGAGUUGUUUGGGAAUGCAGCUCAAAAUGGGUGGUGAAUUCCAUCUAAAGCUAAAUAUUGGCGAGAGACCGAUAGCGAACAAGUACCGUGAGGGAAAGAUGAAAAGCACUUUGGAAAGAGAGUUAAACAGUACGUGAAAUUGCUGAAAGGGAAACGCUUGAAGUCAGUCGCGUUGUCCGGAACUCAGCCUUGCUUUUGCUUGGUGCACUUUCCGGAUGACGGGGUCAGCAUCGAUUUUGACCGUCGGAAAAGGGCUGGAGUAAUGUGGCACCUCCGGGUGUGUUAUAGACUCUGGUCGCAUACGGCGGUUGGGAUCGAGGAACGCAGCGCGCCGCAGGCAGGGGUUCGCCCACUUUCGCGCUUAGGAUGCUGGCAUAAUGGCUUUAAACGACCCGUCUUGAAACACGGACCAAGGAGUCUAACAUACCUGCGAGUGUUUGGGUGGAAAACCCGAGCGCGCAAUGAAAGUGAAAGUUGAGAUCCCUGUCGUGGGGAGCAUCGACGCCCGGACCUGACGUUCUCUGACGGAUCCGCGGUAGAGCAUGUAUGUUGGGACCCGAAAGAUGGUGAACUAUGCCUGAAUAGGGUGAAGCCAGAGGAAACUCUCGUGGAGGCUCGUAGCGAUGCUGACGUGCAA